CUGUGAACGCAUCCCACGCAAGACACCGGAGAUUAUAUACAGCGAUGACAUCCCGCUCCCCCAGUCAGAAGAUGUCAGAAGAACAUCCGGCCUACAGCACAUGCACUUCUCAACGCGUAUGGAUGUACCUAUACUAUAGUCGCUCCGUUCAGUAUAGCAUUGGUUCUUUGUUCUCCGUGGGGAUUCCUGGUUGGAACUCAUGCAGCGACCUAUGCUGGAAGUAACUUCAAGGGAGACUGCUGUACUGUCACCCCCCUCCCUGUCUGGAUGCUGCAUACUCCCAAGCCAUACCCACCCCGGAGGAAGGCGGAAUCACCCACCCUGGGCGGCAGGGGAGUGAGGGGGAUCUCAUGCUGAAGGUCAAAAUGUCUGCCCACACAUGGAGUGUCCAAGUACGUCUGCACGGAGGGGCCCCAGUAGGUGUCUGCGGAGUCGUCACUAAACUCCACACCUCACCGCAGCCAGACAUCAAUCAAUACCGAACCAUGGACACGACACAAUAACGAAGUGGUUUUAAACAAAUAUUUAGCAGGGCAUGAAGGUUCUGUUGAUCUGAACAGUACGAUUUCUCUAAGGAGCAAAGGUGGCCCUCGUUUCCAGCUUCCAGAACAUCUGCCAGGGUCCACUGAUCUCAGGGACCUGGUCUGGAUCUGUGUUCAUGCUGACACCUCUUGAUAUAACCGACAUACUGUUUAAAGCAGCUUAAACCAAACUCACUCAUUGUGUUGAUGGGUUUCAUUAUAGUGGCAAACAUCUGACGGGCAUCUUUUGUCCUUACAGACGGUAGAGUUGCCCCCAGGCCUACCAGAAACCUUGGAAAGGCCUGGAAAGUUCUGUCAAGACCACUGAUCACUGGUUUGCCUGUUACGGAUUUGACAAUGUUUACUGCACUGUGUUAUAGCUGGAAUAUUGCCGACUUUUGCAUUAAACAUUCACUCAAUCACUGUUAAACUUACUCAUAUGUAAGCUGGCAGUGAAGAUCCGGGGUAGAAUAGGUCUUCAGCCAACCCAUGCUUGCCGUUAAAGACGACUU